rnacentral:rRNA from 1 species
UACGUAGGUGGCGAGCGUUAUCCGGAUUUAUUGGGCGUAAAGAGUGCGCAGGCGGUUUGCUAAGUCUAAGAUUAAAGUCCGAAGCUUAACUUCGGUUCGUUUUAGAAACUGGCAGACUAGAGUAUGGUAGAGGCAAAUGGAAUUUCUAGUGUAGCGGUAAAAUGCGUAGAUAUUAGAAGGAACACCAGUGGCGAAGGCGAUUUGCUGGGCCAUUACUGACGCUCAUGCACGAAAGCGUGGGGAGCAAAUAGG